CCUGAGAGACAGCCAGAAUACAGCAAAU
rnacentral:piRNA from 1 species